GCUUGUCAGCCUCUCAGCUUUUAGGGAGGUCCUCUCUCUCCUGUGUUCUGUGCACACUACCGCAGAGGUCUUAGAAUUAAUUGCCUCCAUGGGAGAUAUUCAAGGAGAGGGGCUGGCCUGUGAUGAUGAUGAUGCCCCAGAUCCUGAAGGCAGGGAAUCAGGGACGGCAAAGUCACAGCACCCACACUAUCGGUCCCCUGCCCAACCCCCCGUGACAACUGUCGGCACUUGAUGUCAGACCGCCUGAUCUCAACCGGAGUUCCUCAUCAGAAUCAGAGAACAGAAAUGACCAUUUUCUUGAUCGCCCUAAGAAUUUACACAACUCAUCACACUGUAGAUGCACAAGGGAGAAGUUAAUGCAUUAUAACCAGUACCUUGGGGCCUUGGGGCUUGCUUCUCUGGGGAACCCCACGUGCAAUCUGACAGUCCUUCUCGACAGGUAACACUGGGCAGUGACUAGCUAUCCCAGCAGGUUGGUGAACGAGCUGAAGUUUAUUUGCCACCCCGGCCAUUUGGUGACCCAAGGGAAAUGAAAGGCUACAGAAAAAGUUCAGAUUAAUCUUUCCACUGGGGGCUUCUGAGAGCUACAGCCCGGAGGUGCAGCAGGAAGACACAAAAGGAAACUGGGGGUCGUAAUCAAUUUUCCUUAUAACAGUGUCAUGUUUGUUAUAUUUGUAGAUACCGUGGCAGGCAGAUUUCUAAGAUGGCUCCCAGAUUCCUGCCCCAGGGGUCACACACCAUAUAAUCCCCUCCCCAGGACAGUGGGUGGAGUGGGUGGGACAUGAGAGCAUGGUGGCAUUUCUGUCCUCUGUUUGGGUUACACUGUGUGACAAAGGUGAAGGGACUUCUCAGACGUGCCUAAGUAGUUGACUCUGUGUUCAUCAAAAGGAAGGGUAUCAUCAGGGUGGGCCUGACCCAAUCAGGUAAACACUUUAAAAGAGGGUUUAGACACCUGAGUGUCUCGGUCAGCUAAGCGUCCGACUUCAGUGCUGGUCAUGAUCGCAUGGUUCAUGAGUUCGAGCCCCACAUCGGGGUCUUUGCUGUCAGCACACAACCUGCUUUGGAUCCUCUGUCCCCCCUCUCUCUCAAAAAUAAAAAGUAACCUUAAAGAAACUAACUGCCAUAUUUGGAGAGGAUCACAUAGCAAAGAAAUAUGUGUAGCCUCUAGGCGCUGAGGGCCUCAGUCUUACAGUUGCAAAGAACUGAAUUCUGCCAACAAUUGGAGAGCUUGGAAGAGGACCCGGACCCUCAGGUGUGAUAGCACUCUUGACCACCAGCACUUGGAUUUCAGCAUUGUGAGACUCCGAGCUGAGAAAGCCAGAAAGGAAAACGAGAAGUCUGAAUUCACUUGAAACGAAUACAACAUACACUAUGUAGUCUUGCCCCAUAAAGAAGAAUGAAGCUAUGUGCCAAAUGAGCAUCAGGACCUAGGUAAUCUAUGCCAAAGUGACCUGGACUAUCUACACAUUUCAAAGGACGUCACAUUGGUUCACUGUAUCGAUGGCAUCGCGUUGGUCAGAUCAGGUGAGCAAGAAGUGGCAAAUAUGUGGGAGUCUUGGUAAGUCACACGUGUUCAAAAGGGUGGGAAAUCCGUCUUGUGAAGAUUUAGGGGUCCACCAGAUCAGUGAAGUUUGCCUAGUUUGGAAGGCAAGUGGACAAAUGCGCGCAUACAGCCUGAGAAGGACAGGUGUCCAGGAGCUCAGGGUCUGGUCACACCACUAGGUAAACCAUCUAGACCAGCAGCGAUGCUAGCUGGGGGGCAACCCUCACCCAUCUAGGAUGGAUAGGAGAGGAGGGAGACCAUGAGUGUGAGUUGCUACCUUGGGACGGGCUACAGUGGCAGGGGCUAGGGUUUGCCCCUUUGCUUUUCUUUGACACGAAGUGAAAGAAUCUAAGUGGCCCAGGGGCAGAUCAUAGGGGGACCUGAGGUGUACAAUCCAGAUCCUCUGCUUCCGGACUGAAGCAUCCUUCUGGCAGCUGCUGGAAGUGUUGAUGACUGAUAGCUCAGCUGGGCUCCCCACUGCCACAAUGGUCCUUAGCUGAAGAGAGUCCCUCACCUGGGGUCAUAUCUCCUUACCUGAGCAGCCUGCAUAUAAUGACCAGCAGCCUGCAUACAAUGACUAGUUAACACAGGGCUAUAAAGGCCUGGUCCCUUUGCCCCAAGUGAGAACAACUCCCGUGCCAUCCCAGCUCCAGAGUCUCCCCAAAUGGGCUGAGGCCUUUGCUGUGACUGUAUCACAGCUGAGCUCUGGUCCCUUCACUUUCCCACAGCUACUGAUCGUCAAAGCACCCCAUAUACUAACCUCCAUUUCACAGUUUGCUUCCCAUGGAACCCAACCUUCAACACGUAACAUAGCCUUGUACAUCUCAUUUUUGUAAGAAAAUAUGUUAAGGGGAGCCUGGGUGGCUCAGUCAGUUUAGUGACCAACUCUUGGUUUUGUCUCAGCUCAUGAUUUCGCAGUCUGUGGGGUCGAGCCCGCGCUGUUCCGUGCGGAGCCCCCUCGGGGUUCUCUUUCUCCCUCUGCCUCUACCCCAUCCUUCAAAAUAAAUAAAUAAACUUUUUUAAGAAAAUA